UUUUACAAUGGAGAGUUUGAUCCUGGCUCAGGAUGAACGCUAGCUACAGGCUUAACACAUGCAAGUCGAGGGGAAACGACAUCGAAAGCUUGCUUUUGAUGGGCGUCGACCGGCGCACGGGUGAGUAACGCGUAUCCAACCUGCCCACCACUUGGGGAUAACCUUGCGAAAGUAAGACUAAUACCCAAUGAUAUCUCUAGAAGACAUCUGAAAGAGAUUAAAGAUUUAUCGGUGAUGGAUGGGGAUGCGUCUGAUUAGCUUGUUGGCGGGGUAACGGCCCACCAAGGCGACGAUCAGUAGGGGUUCUGAGAGGAAGGUCCCCCACAUUGGAACUGAGACACGGUCCAAACUCCUACGGGAGGCAGCAGUGAGGAAUAUUGGUCAAUGGACGAGAGUCUGAACCAGCCAAGUAGCGUGCAGGAAGACGGCCCUAUGGGUUGUAAACUGCUUUUAUAAGGGAAUAAAGUGAGAGUCGUGACUCUUUUUGCAUGUACCUUAUGAAUAAGGACCGGCUAAUUCCGUGCCAGCAGCCGCGGUAAUACGGAAGGUCCGGGCGUUAUCCGGAUUUAUUGGGUUUAAAGGGAGCGUAGGCCGGAGAUUAAGCGUGUUGUGAAAUGUAGG
rnacentral:rRNA from 1 species